rnacentral:rRNA from 1 species
AUUGAACGCUGGCGGCAUGCCUUACACAUGCAAGUCGAACGGUAACAGGUCUUCGGAUGCUGACGAGUGGCGAACGGGUGAGUAAUACAUCGGAACGUGCCCGAGAGUGGGGGAUAACGAAGCGAAAGCUUUGCUAAUACCGCAUACGAUCUCAGGAUGAAAGCAGGGGACCGCAAGGCCUUGCGCUCACGGAGCGGCCGAUGGCAGAUUAGGGAGCUGGUGGGAUAAAAGCUUACCAAGCCGACGAUCUGUAGCUGGUCUGAGAGGACGACCAGCCGAACUGGGACUGAGACACGGCCCAGAAUCCUACGGGAGGCAGCAGUGGGGAAGUUUGUACAAUGGGCGCAAGCCUGAUCCAGCCAUGCCGCGUGCAGGAUGAAGGCCUUCGGGUUGUAAACUGCUUUUGUACGGAACGAAAAGACUCCUUCUAAUAAAGGGGGUCCAUGACGGUACCGUAAGAAUAAGCACCGGCUAACUACGUGCCAGCCGCCGCAGUAACAC